GACGAACGCUGGCGGCGUGCUUAACACAUGCAAGUCGAACGGAAAGGCCCUGCUUUUGUGAGGUGCUCGAGUGGCGAACGGGUGAGUAACACGUGAGUAACCUGCCCUUGACUGUGGGAUAACUUCAGGAAACUGGGGCUAAUACCGGAUAGGAGCUCCUGCUGCAUGGUGGGGGUUGGAAAGUUUCGGCGGAUGGGGAUGGACUCGCGGCUUAUCAGCUUGUUGGUGGGGUAGUGGCAUACCAAGGCUUUGACGGGUAGCCGGCCUGAGAGGGUGACCGGCCACAUUGGGACUGAGAUACGGCCCAGACUCCUACGGGGGGCAGCAGUGGGGAAUAUUGCACAAUGGGCGGAAGCCUGAUGCAGCAACGCCGCGUGCGGGAUGACGGCCUUCGGGUUGUAAACCGCUUUCGCCUGUGACGAAGCGUGAGUGACGGUAAUGGGUAAAGAAGCACCGGCUAACUACGUG
rnacentral:rRNA from 1 species